GUCUAAGUGGCUCAGUGGAUAGAGUGAUGAGUUUGAAGUCAGGAAGACUCAUCUUCAUUAGUUCAAAUCUGGCUUUAGACU
rnacentral:tRNA from 1 species